ACAACAAUUCACCUUAAAAAUUAACCCUAUGCCCGAUGAAAUAGCCCUCUUUCACAAUACAACCUGCCUUCAGUAUAUUGUACUCCUCCGCUCAACCUUCAGCGAUUGUACUCAUCUGCUCAGCCUUCAAUAGAUUGUACUUCUUUGCUUAGCCGCAACUGCAACUAUAGGGCAACGAUUCCCUUCCGAAGAUGCAAGUCCCGUGAAAUCCUGCAAAGGUGCUCCCGUGAAGGAACAGAGAAUUUUCUUCUCAAGUUGCACAGAUUCAUCCUCUGUUCUGCCAUGAAGGUGACGAUAUUGAAGAUGUAAAUAUGGAAGUUGGUGGGCUACAAAAGGUGUAGAAGAAACCGUGAAGGGAACAACUGCUACUUCCGAUUUUAAGAACCCAAAGGCAUUGUGCGACUGGAGGCAAUGGGAAGGGAUUCCGUUCAAUGCCCUAGGUUCCUCAAGAUUUUCGAGUCACUUUGUGAAGUGUCUUCAACUUCAAGCGCGGCUUCAGCAUUAAAAUCGGUAAUCUAUCUAACCUCUUCUUCCAUAUUUGGAGUCACCUCUGUUUUGAAAUCAUUGUUCAAACAACCAUAGUUUAGGGUUAUUGCAUCAUCUUGUUUUGUCUGUGUCUCUGCCACAACAUGGUGGAGCAAACAAAGUAAAUCAAUAAAUAAAUAAAUCAGAAUGGGGUUUCUUUUUGUCGGCCUUCAUUGGAGUAACUAAAAUAUAUAAGAACAAUACUCACCUUAACUACCAUCUUUAGGCUCUUUGCAUUAUCUUGCUGGACAAUUUGAGCAUUUGGGUAGAAACUGUGGUUGCACAUAUCAAUGAGAGGAAGCAUCAUAGGCACAUUAGCGUGUUCCUCUGCCACAUGCUCCCCACAGGGUACAAUUUACUCCUUGAAUUGAAAACUCACUCUAUCCUAGUUUGCAAGAUAUUGAGUCAUGAACCUACAUUUAUGAUAUAGAAAUGCACAUGCUAUUGUUGAAGACCGAGGACUAUGUAUUUAGUGAAUGAUGUAUAUACUUGCUUUGAAAAAAUCAUUGUAUCACAAUUUUAACACUUCCCUAUUUAAUUAGUAACACCAUGAAGGGCUUGCAAGUAGCAGUUCUUGAAAUUGUAUCAAUAAAAAAAUCUAGCAGCGCAAGAUAUAAUACUGCAGGUAUUAAAUUAAUAGCUAACUCAUCAUUCUCAAAGGCAAUGGCUACUUGCUUGAGUGCCACUACAUCAAGCAAGGAUGGAAAUAGUUUCUUUCUUUCCUAAUAACAUGCCCGCUAUAGAAUAAUUGGUCUAUUUGAAACAUAGUUCAGUAAAUUCCAUUACUUCACAGUAAAAGAUGCUUUAUUCCUUAUCUUCCACAGGCCCCAUACAGUGGCAAUGAAACCACUCUCCCACAUAAUCCAACCUCAAAACCCCAAGUAAUUAAAGCCCAGACAAGUAGAAAAUCAUUAUGUCUCUGAAGGGUUUACCUAGAUUUACUCUAAACAGACAUAAUAACUCUAUAUUGUUCUUCCCUCAUAGUGUAAGAAAAGAUCCCAACCACUUUUAUUCUCCUUUUUCACACCUAUAGCAUCAGUUAACAGAGUAGAAUCCACUUGGUUUAAAAAUAAUAAAUUUUCAGUGCUAUCAUCCAAGAAAUGCUUCUAUUAUUGGAGGAACAAUUGAUCACCAAAUGGAGUCCAUGGUGAUGCUGCUGCAGGAAAGAAGGGGAGAAGGGGUUAAACUCUGUUUUCUUGUAGCAAUCUUGUAAUUUUUUGCAGUAUGGUUAUGAGGGGUCAGAUUGGGUUUUAUGUUGUUUAUUUUCUGUUAUUGAGUCCUAGUUGAUGUUCCAGAGUCAUUAGGGUUUGAGAUUGAUUUUUUUUCCUUCAAAAUGAUUCAAAUAGGAUUCCUUUCGUUCUUCAAGUUUUCUUUGGGAUAAGCACCAUUUAUGCUAUUGCUAAUAAUUUACCUAUAUGAAAUGUUUGCUUAAUCAAUUAUGUAUGUUCAGAGUUAUGAGAUCUCCAAGAACCCCUAACCCCAAAAGCACUACUAUUAUUUGGAAUGAAGCUGAGAUUCGAGCAUUCAUCAACCAAAUGGUUGAGAAUGUAAGGAAAGGUUAGACGACCAACUCCACAUUCACAAAGAUAGGAUGGGAUAAUAUUUUAAAAGGCUUAAAAGCCGAAUUCAAUUGACCGUUUGGGAAGGAGCAACUCCAUAACAAGAUGAACAAAUUACGGAAGAAGUACAAUAGCUUCAAGUGUUUAUUGGAAACAACGGGAUUUGGAUGUGAUGCAAAUGCUAGGACUACUACAACUGAAGAUUCUGUGUGGGAAUCUGCUAUUAAGGAAAACAAAGUGUGGGCUAGAUAUAAAAGAAAUGGUCUUCCAUGGUGGCCAGAGUUAUUAGAGAUCUUCUCUGACUCAAGUGCCUGUGGGGAUAGAGGGAUUUCAUAGACUACUGUUGUAACUCCUAGGUCCACAAACCUUGGUAAUGAUGAUGAUGAUUUUCAGGAGAGUGAUCCUGAUGAUAGUGAAGGUUGUAGUGGCUCACCAAACAGAUUUGCUCCUCCCAAGAGGUGACUUGACAGGACUCUUACGGAUCAUAGGAGGAAGAGCCAGACAUGGACAGUCACAAACUCUGCUAAGGACUUCAGAGAAUUUGUGCGAUGGAGGAUGGAAAAGGGUAACUCCUAUGCCAUUUCUGCCAUAGUCAGACCUCCUGAUUCUAUGUUGGAUGGACCACAUAGUGUGAUGAGCUGUCAAAAGCUACUGGGCACUACAGAAGAUAUUCUGUCAGAGAUGUAUGUGAUGGCUCAGCAGAAGAUACAUAGUGAUCCUUGUUGGUGCUUGUCUUUCAUGGAGGUGAGGCCGGAUAGGACGCUGUGGAUGAUACAACACCUGAAGGAGCUCCCAUGACUUGGAUCAGUUGGUUCUUGCAUGGUUUUCAAGACAGAUGGACAAGCUUUUUUGGGCUGUUUAUGUCAGUCUUUAGUACUUAUAUACUUUACUAACUACUUCGCUUUUUAAUGGUUUCUGAUUUUGAUGCUUGAUAGUUGUUGGAUGUUUUUAAUUUGUUUGAAGACAUAAUAUUUUCAGUUAUGCAUAUUUCUGCUAGGAUUGGUAGAUACUUUUUAUUAACUAUUUAAUACAUGAUGCUAAGUAUAUUAGCAUAUAGACAAGAAUGCUAAUGGUUGUGGAUUA